UGUAUCUGAAACCUGACGAGGAUGAGAACCUCCGGGGGCAAGAGGUUCGACCCGAGCGAAGCGAGAGAACGUUGCGUCAGCAA
rnacentral:sRNA from 1 species